GUGAAGAACGCAGCGAAAUGCGAUAAGUAAUGUGAAUUGCAGAAUUCAGUGAAUCAUCGAAUCUUUGAACGCACCUUGCGCCCUUUGGUCAUUCCGAAGGGCAUGCCUGUUUGAGUAUCAUGAACACCUCAACUCUUCAUGGUUUUCCAUGAUGAGCUUGGACUUUGGGGGUCUUGCUGGCCUGUGGGUCGGCUCCUCUCAAAUGAAUCAGCUUGCCGGUUUUUGGUGGGCAUCACAGGUGUGAUAACUAUCUACGCUUGUGGUUUUCCACCAGGGUAACCUUCAGCAGUGGAGGUUCACUGGAGCUUACAAAUGUCUCUCCUCUGUGAGGACAGCCCUUUGAAUGUUUGAUCUCAAAUCAGGUAGGACUACCCGCUGAACUUAAGCAUAUCAAUAAGCGGAGGA
rnacentral:misc_RNA from 1 species